rnacentral:lncRNA from 1 species
AGCAGUUUCCAGGCUCCCCUCGGCGGGGCUGAAUGAUCAAAACUGGUGGUGAGAAUUUUUCCGGGCCGUUUCUAGGCAGCCCUCCCCCUCCACCAGCUCGGACCCCCCCCUCCCUCCUUUCUCCUUCUCCUCCCUUUUCCUUCUCCCCUCCCCCAGCGUCUGGGCUGAGUGAUCAAAAUAGAGGAAGAUGGUUGUCGCCGCAAUCCAGGGCUUUGCAAGGCGCGGUUUAAUGGGCCGCCUGUCAGCUUCCUGCUCGCAGGAGGAGGUGACAAGCCAAGCGAGCCGGAGAGGGCCUGGGGCCCGGCUGGCUGCACCCCGCACUCCGGGCCCCGGCCCCCGGCCUCCCCUGGGGUGCGCUUCUAGUACGCGCGGUGGAGACGCCGAAACAGACAAGGGCUGCUUUUUCCCUUGUUUUUUUUUUCUUCCUUUUAAAACAAAGCAGCGAUUCAUUCCCUCUCCCCCAGCAGCGCGGUCGGGUGGGAUGGGCAGGCGAGAAGGCCGUUUUCCUAGCACUGACCUACGGGUCCCUCCCUGAAACGCGGUGUCAGAUGGUUACUGAUUAAUAUUUUGGAGAGGCCGCGGCGGCAGGCAGCGGGUGAGUCUCUAAUCUUCUAAAAGGGGUUCCUAUAGAAACGCGGAGCGGGGCGCGCCCCCCGCUCGGCCCAGGCCCGGGCUGCGGCGCUUCGCACAGCGCGCCCCUCCCCAAAGCCCCUCUUUGCGUGGGCGCUCCCCUCUCCUUCCCCCCCCGCCAACAAAAAAUCAGAGCAGAAAAAAGGAUUAGAUCGGCUGAGCGCGAACUGAAUCCCUCUCGAUUCUGACAUUUCAGCCUAUUAGCAUUUCUCCACGGAGCCUUCUGAAACCUAUUAAAGUGUAAUAUUAAAAACCUCUUGGCUGGGGGCCUCUCUCGCCUUCCAUCCGCCGCGCCCCCUCCAGGGAGGGCGAGACCGGGAAAAAAAUAAAAUCUGUUGAGCUCAGAGGAAGUAGCCGCCAAGCCCAAAAAGUGCUUGGCUGGCCACGGCGGCCGUAGGGGGAAGGGAGCCCCAAUCCCCCAGACUUUGUACUUUUAUUUUGCGCUUUCAGCAAAAUCCUUUCUGGGUUGAGUAGCCGUGAGCUGCCCGCGGCCGACCUACCUGACCGGGGGCGCAGGGAGUGCGGACCACGCCAGCAGGACUGUCCUGGGGGCCCCCGCACCCUCUCUCUGCAGCCCCCCGAGCCCGGCUAGGCAUUACGUACCCUGGAAAGGAAGCUUGGAGGGGCAGAAAUCCUUCCAAUGCUGCCUCGAAGAGCAACUGCAGUGAUAAGAUUUUAAUUAAAACAAGAGAAGCCCGCUCUUUCGCCCCGCGCUGCGGACUCAGCGUUUUCGCAUUGCCCGUUCUGUUUUUUUUAAAUCAAUUUUUAAGGCAACUUUUUGGGAGGGGGGAAAAAUGAGCGAGUUAGUGCCCAUUCGUUCUAUUUUCUUUUCUCCACUUUUAGAAAAAAGUGGGGGGAGGCUUCGAGAACGAACGGGGGGGUGUCUAAUUUAAUUCCAGGAUAAAUUUGAGGAAAAAAGUUCAGCCUCUUGAGGGCAGUUUCAAGUUGCCCUUCCUGGAGCUUCCUGCGUUAGUUUCUAGGCUGCCCUCUUUUGGAAGCUGUAGCUCCGCUGGGGAGGAGGGAGGAGUGAGAAGGAAAGAAAGGAACAAAAAUAGCCGGAGCCGAGGGGAACAAGCCACGGUGUCCGCGUUUGGAGCUGGGCGUGCGGGUCUCAGUGGCGGCCUCGGCAUUCGGGGCGGCGGGAGGCGCCCGGUGCAUCCCCGGGACGGCCAGGAGCAAAGACGGAGAGGAGAGGGGGGUUAGAGAAAGGAGGUAUUGUGUCUGUGUGCCUUAGGGGAGGAGGGGACUGCAGGAAUCGAAUAAACGCAGUCGAGCUGCGCGGGGCUGCUGGAAGCCCAGGCGGGGGAAGGGGGCCGUGUGUGGGGGCGCAGAGCGCCCUUGAGCCUUACGCAGAGGUCUUGUGUGUUCCUAGUUAAGCCCUCCCACGCCCGAGGCCCCAUCGCUUCCUCUCCACCCUCUUUACCCACCAAUAUUCCAAGCCCAGAUCCUAAUUCCCCACCGCAUUACCCCGCCCUGGAUUUGGGGAAUGUUUUUCUUUAUUUUAAUAUAGCUCAAGGAAAAAAUACGUAUAUCUUGAGAGAUUUGGGGUGGGGAAAACAAAAGCCUUGCGGAGUAGAAAAAACAAAGGCUUAUUUUUAUAAAUGUUUAAUGUUUUCACCCCCUGGAUGCUCCGAGACGCCGUAAUUGUGACGGCGGGGUACGUGUGCCAUAAAUCAUUUAGUUGCUAAUAAAAAUUCUGCCUGUUUGCCCUGGAUUUGCCAAUGGCGUUUGCAUUUUUCAAGUGUGCGCCUCGGCGGUGUGACGAACCCAGCCGGUAUUUCAUUAGGGCCGCGGUUCGGGGCAGAGGAGGUCCCCUCCCCGCCUGGGCUUUGUGCGCCCAGCCCCCUUGCACCGGCCCUUCCAUACCUGCCCCCGGCACCCACUCC